ACUCAAAGGAAUAGACGGGGGCCCGCACAAGCGGUGGAGCAUGGGGAUUAAUUCGUCACUAACCGAAGAACCUUACCCAGGCUUGACAUCCGUGGAAAGUCCGUGAAAGCGGUACCCCGCUAGCGCAAGCUAGCGCCGCGAGACAGGUGUUGCAUGGCUGUCGUCAGCUCGUGUCGUGAGAUGUUGGGUUAAGUCCCGCAACGAGCGCAACCCUCACGCUAUGUUGCCAGCGUAAAGUCGGGCACUCUUAGCGAACUGCCCGGGUAACCGGGAGGAAGGUGGGGAUGACGUCAAGUCGGCAUGGCCCUUACGCCUGGGGCUUCACCCAUGCUACAAUGGGCGUGACAGAGGGAUGCAAGACCGCGAGGUGGAGCCAAUCCCACAAACACGCUCUCAGUUCGGAUUGCAGGCUGCAACUCGCCUGCAUGAAGUCGGAAUCGCUAGUAACCGCCGGUCAGCUAAACGGCGGUGAAUACGUUCCCGGGCCUUGUACACACCGCCCGU
rnacentral:rRNA from 1 species